rnacentral:rRNA from 1 species
AUUGAACGCUGGCGGAAUGCUUUACACAUGCAAGUCGAACGGUAACAGGUUAAGCUGACGAGUGGCGAACGGGUGAGUAAUACAUCGGAACGUGCCCAGUCGUGGGGGAUAACGUAGAGAAAUUUACGCUAAUACCGCAUACGAUCUAAGGAUGAAAGCGGGGGACCGUAAGGCCUCGCGCGAUUGGAGCGGCCGAUGUCAGAUUAGGUAGUUGGUGGGGUAAAGGCCUACCAAGCCGACGAUCUUUAGCUGGUCUGAGAGGACGACCAGCCACACUGGGACUGAGACACGGCCCAGACUCCUACGGGAGGCAGCAGUGGGGAAUUUUGGACAGUGGGCGCAAGCCUGAUCCAGCAAUGCCGCGUGCAGGAUGAAGGCCUUCGGGUUGUAAACUGCUUUUGUACGGAACGAAACGGCAAGCUCUAAUACAGUUUGCUAAUGACGGUACCGUAAGAAUAAGCACCGGCUAACUACGUGCCAGCCGCCGCUGUAA